rnacentral:lncRNA from 1 species
AGGUGGGUCACCUGCAGGCUGGCGCUGGCUUCUAAGCUGCCUCAGAACUUGGCGUCGCAGGUGGCUACUGGAGCUGACACCCAACACUGCGGUGGACCUGCGUGUCCCCUUGCUGCAGCCUCGCCAGGCCGAGCUGGCUGGGCCGCCGCGGAACCGCAUUCCCUACCCCUAACCACGUUGUGGCCGCGCUGUGGCCUUGGCUCUGCUUCGCUCUGAGGUACUGGAUCAGGUCGGUGUCUGCCAGAUGCGGGAGAGUUGGUGCGAGCUACCCGCAAGAUAUCUUAAACUUUCCCUGGGGAUUCCUCUACCAGCCUGUUAGAUCGUGUUGUGAAUUUCGCCAGAUACCAAAAUAAAAUACUCCUUCCAGUGCCCUUCUGGGACGUUAUGA